AAACCAAAUACAUGAAUUUGGGAUAAACAAGUACCGUGACACGUCUUAUCGCAAUGUCAAUUUACACUCAAAAAUAAGAGAAAACAAACGACGCAACGUUAAAUUGUAACACACACAGAAACAAACUAUAAUAUAACAAUGGCCAUAUUCCUGACUUGGUACAGGACAUUUUUAAAGGAAAAAAUGGUGGGUUGAACCUGGUUUUGUGGCAUGCCAAACCUCGCACUUUAAUGGCAAUGUUAAAUAUAACAUAGAAAUGACAACAUAAUAUUACAGGAC
rnacentral:lncRNA from 1 species